rnacentral:lncRNA from 1 species
AAAAACCUAAACCUAAUCUUUUUUGAAGGGCAGCCGCCCCCCACAUUUUUUGGUUUUCUCUUCAGCCGGUUCCACCAUCUUUCCCCCCCCUUUGGUUUUAAUUUUUCCCAGCCCCCCACCUUUGUUUUUUUUGCCCCAGCCAAACAGCCCCCUAAAAACAGCCCCAGAUCAUUUUUUUCUUUUCUUCCCAUUCUUCUCCCUCAUCGGACCCAAAAACCAGCCGGCCAAGACACACAGCCUCCCCCCGAAGCCAUUUCUCCUUCUCUCAGCCUCCACCAUAACCCACAACUGACCCCCACCUUAUUAUUAUUAUUAUUAUUUUUUUCUUUCUUUCUUCUCCCCACUCGGAGUCACUCACAGCCGCCCUUCACCCAUCUCCUGCAACCUCUCAAUCCCCUCAUUCUCUUCAACCAUCAACUCAGCCCUCAUUGUCCUUUAGCCUAUUUCUUUUCCCUCUUAGUUGCAGGAGCAAGGGACGAACCGAACGGAGGCCCAGCAGCGGCGUCUCCUCAUCCCAUUGGCGUCGUCCACUCCAUCAACCACAGCAGCGCCGUCUUCAACUAGCCACAAAUCCCUCGUCGCCAUCUGCAAACCACCGAUCUGUAGGCGAUCUCCUCAGCCACGGCUGCUCCUCCUUCGGUUUCCUUCCACAGCAGCGACGGCCGAACAAAUCCAGCUCCGGGGCAACAAUCAUCAGCUCCUUCAACCGGUGGCGGAUCCACGAUCCUCUCUUCAGCCGCAGCAACGCUCCGCCAUCUGAAGAACGAAGUAACAGCCACCAGAAAGAGAACAUUUUGAUUACAGAUCUAAAAGCAUUGGGCAGAAAAAAGAAAUAAAAACAGAUCUGAAACAAAAGCUAAAAUCAACUGUUCUGUGGCGUUUUCUUGGUUGUUUUGCAGGUCAUUGUCGGUGGGGAAGAGAAGAAGAUUGCAAGCCAGGCCUGCUUCCCCUGUCAUCCAGCGGUGGCGCGUGGAUCCACGCGCCACCAGUGGCGGUGCGUGUGGAUAAACGCGCCACCAGUGUUCAUACGGGUCCAGGAAGUUCCUCUGCAAUUCCUGGAGUGUUGGGGGACUAUUUUGUAAAUUUUAAGUUAUUUAAUGUAAUUUUUAUUUAUUUUUUUAAUUUGAUUUGUAAAUAUGGAUGUAAAAGAAAAGAAAAAGAGAAAAAAAAAAAAAAAAAAAUGUUUGUGUGUUUGUUUUUUUUUAUUUAUGUUAUUGAAUUAUAUAAAAAAAAACAAAAAGAAUUAAUUGUUAAUUUAAAUAUGGUUAAAUAUCUUAAGGACAAAUAAAAUCAAGUUGUAUUUUCCACGAAAAUGUAAGAACAAGUUUUUACAUAUAUUCGGGGAUUUAAUAACUGAUUUAUUCAAGCCUUAGAAUUUAAUUAAUAUUUUAAAUUUUCUUAAAUAUGGUUAAAUAUCUCAAGGACAAAUAAAAUCAAGUUGUAUUUUCCACGAAAAUGUAAGAACAAGUUUUACAUAUAUUCGGGGAUUUAAUAACUGAUUUAUUCAAGCCUUAGAAUUUAAUUAAUAUUUUAAAUUUUCAAAUCACAUCAGAACACAAAGCAGCUUACCUCAGGUAGGUGUGUUAGGGGUGCUAAUACCUUCCCUAACCACAACCAGUCCCUUACCCGCGAUCUCUGACAAGACCAGUACAUCAGGUUUCCUAGUAGCCCUCAAUGAAUUACUAGGUGGCGACUCCAAGAACAAAUUCAAAGCAAACGCAAAAACGAGAAAAAUCGUCAGCCCGAUGCCGCGCGCCGGAUGGAUUUUUUUUGGGGUGCGACAGGAUGGCGACUCCACUGGGGACAGGUAUUGUUUUCAACUUUAUCGGACUAAGCUUUGUGUUUUGAUGUGUUCAAGUUUUUUUUUAUGCUUUGUUUUAUUUUUGUUUUAUCCAUGCAUUUUGUAGAAUUAUCUCAUGCAUCACAAGUUUUAAUUUUUGAAAGCACACACAAGCUUUAGGUUAGGUGGGGGACUAGCAGCUUACCUUACGACUUGAGUCAAGGUUUAAGUUUGUGUAAACCCCAACUCUUUGUUGAGUGCUUAGACUGGUAAUAGUUGGACACGUGCCAACCAAUUACCUACUGGGCCCCUAUAUUGCCUUUACGAAGGCGAUCACUGGGACAACAAGAGACCCUUUUAGAGACCAAGUAGCAAACCUACCCUGUCUCACGUAAAAUGAAUAGAGCCUGUCUUAGGAUGUAUGUGCUAUUGUUUUGCAUCAGCAAACCCUUCUUGAAGCAUCUUGAACUCAAGACUUGUGGGUGACACAUUGGCCGUCACUCCGAAAAUUUUCAUUGUAGAGUUUGGGCAAAAAUCACGAUUCUUGUCCAUCAUACAAGAGUUACGACCAUAUUGUCACCUCGAAGGGUGAGUUCGUCAUAUAGAUUACAUGUUCAUACAUUUAUCAUGUAUGUACCGGGUUGAAAAGUAGGUUCCCCCGCACAAGCUGUGCUGCACGUGAUUGAGAAGAUGAUGGAAGUGAAGAAAGGUGUUAGAGGCUCAUUAUCAGUUUGAGUUUGAGAGCAUCAAAUGUGAAGUAGCUGGACUUAGAUCUGCUCGAACAAGUGUUGAGCAUCAAAUGGAAAGAGAAUGUCUGCAUAGUUUUCUGUGGGAACACUGCUUGUCCACGUCCAAAUUGAAGCUGCCUCUCUUUUUCAGUCAUGAACAACAACAACAAUGCCUUCAGUUAUCAACUAAUGACAACUCUGAUUCCUGUCCAGUUGCGCUGUUAAGUAUUCAUCGCCUCCACAUCAUCUAAUGGAACCAAACGACUACUAGCCUCCUGUUCAUGGUGCAUUAGUCUGCUUUGAAGUUACCCCAAUUAUGAGCUCAAUUCCAGUUCAACAGCACAAGAUGUUGGUCUGAAAAACCAUGAUCAGACACUGAAUUUCAACGUGGUAGAGAUUUAUUUGUGGAUCUGCCAACGAGAAAUGCAAAAGGGGAUGUAUUAAUUUCAUAUGCUUUGAAACUUUUUCCCCCAGUGGCACCCGCAAAACAUUGUAGUAGGCAGAAGAGGCAGACCUGGUCUGAUAAUAUUAACAGUCGUCAAACUUCAAUGUGGCAGAGCUCUCUCUACAAAAAUCCAUUUAUGGCUCUGCAAAUUGGGAAUGCAAGAGGGGAUUUAUAAAUUGCAUAUGCUACAAAUAUUUCUCUCAUCAGCUUCAGCACGAAGACCUUUUAGUAGGUUGAAGAGUCAGACCUGGUCUGAAAAAUAUGAGCAAACAUCAAACUUCAACGUAGCAGAGCUCUCUCAUCAGGAAUCUAUUUGUGGAUCCGCAAGUAGGAAUACAGUAGUUUCAGAUCAUCUAUGAUUUUCCUCCAAUAGUGUCGGCAUUAAAACUCAAAAGUAGAGAGAAGAGACAUGUCUAGACUAAAAAACAUGAAGAAUACUGAAACUUCAACAGAGCAGGACUUCCUCUAUAGGUGUUUGUUUGCUGCACUGUCAGUGAGAAAUCAAAGAGGGGACAAAGGAGGUUUAGAUUCAUCAGGUGCUCUCCCAAUAGAGACAAUGUGUGAUUCCACACGUCGGUAGUGGCGAUACUACAAGUUUCUGUGCGCUGCCAAGAUUACCAAGCUGUUGGAAAUUCUUCUAACAAUCCUCAACCAACCACAACAACAUUGGAAGAUUGAAAUGAUAUUGUGAGGAUUUGCCGAAGAAUUGAACAAGCUAUGAAGAGAGGAAAGAUUGAAGGAUCUGCCAUGGAUUCCAGAACAAUGAUGAGAGGUGAAUCAGGAGAUGACUUCGACGGUGUGAACCCUUAAUUAUGUGGUAUAGCCAGGUCUCACGGUAGCAUCAAUUGCUCAAAUGUCUUUGCCAAGAUUGACAUUCCUCUGCCACUUAAGUUUGUCGACCAGCAUCUGCCAGAUUCCAGAAUUUUGCUUGACUCCGACAAAUCCCAUGCAACCACCAUUUCUAGGUGGUUAAUCCUGACAAGAGAUGUGUUGUCAUGGUGGGGUCCUCGGCCAUUUUAGUUAAACAGAUGCAAGAGUUUCAAGAGUCGAGCUCAAUUUGCGAAAGAUGAUGUCGUCAAUCAUUUUCAGAAUGACAAGUGAUCGGAAUUGCUUGGCAAAACAAAUAUUGCCAGAAAGCUGAUCCAAGAAGGUGUAAACUGUCAAGCAUUUGUUUUGGAUUCUUGCAUUUUUUUUGGGAUCACAUCUCAUCCUUAACGAAACAUGCUUGCUUUUGUCUUUUUGUUGUUUUGAAAUCAACAGAUGUUUAAAUUUUUUUGACAAAAUAUUUUGAUCAAACUCCAACAUGCGAUAAAGGUAAUCAAUCCUGAAGAUUAAAAGUGUUUUGAUUGCAGAAAUGACUCGAUUCUUGUUGAAAUGACAUGAGGUGACCAAACAAAUUUUGAACUCAUACCUUGAAACUGAACCACACAUCAUAUAGCUAAGUUUUAGCAGUAUGCAUAAUGACAUGUAGUGGAUUUCGGUAGUAUGGACUCGUGAAUCAUUGACUCUUACAAGUCCAAAUCAUUACACUAGAUGAGGUCAAAAUUUAUCGGUUCUAACCGACCUUGCUUGAAAUGAGAAAAGGCCAUCUUUGAUAUCCUGUCACUUUCUAAAAAUUAUCUCCCUUGUAGUCCCAUUUUGAGCUGGAUAGAAUAUUUUUUCAUAAAAACCCUGACUAGGAUCACACCCCACACUGGGGGCAAAUGAGAAAUAUUUUGGAGACACGGAUAAAAUCAAUGGAUCAAAGAAAAGCUUAGAACAAAAGUCCAAUGUUUGAGAAAGGGCUAGAAGAAGAAAAUCCAUAGAUUGAGGGCCAUCCAAGAAAAACUUUGAGGAAAUGAAAGAAAAUGCCUACCAAUUCUAAGAGAGGCAAGACAACUUUCAAUUGAGAAAAGACAAUAAAUGCCAAAAGUCAACACUAGAAAAAUCGAUGCUUCAUAUCUUUUGGUGUGUCUAGGAUAAAGCCUCUAAUGUCUUCAAAUUUAGAUUGUUAUUCAUCAAAGAAAAAGUUGGAUUUGCAUUAUGACCUAUGUUAAGAGAAUUCUGAUAUUUGAGAUUAACAAGGUUAUAUGUCACUUUCUCUACAAUGACGACAAGAGAAAGAGAAUCGAUGAAUAAUUGAUGUUGAUCCUAGUCGUUGAAACCCUCAAACACCUUUUGAGCCUUUGAAAUUCUUUCUUUCAUAGCCAUGAACCAUAGCCUGCAUUACAUGCUUUUAAAAAGCCCUUUUUAAUCAAACAAGCAAUUUGAAUCGAUAAAUGGCGCUCUCAAAACUUGAAGAGCUUUUCCAUAAGGGUUGUGACUUCAUGAAUUAAGCUACUGGUUAUUAUGCAUGCUGAUAAAAUAAAUGCUAAGAAAAGAAACAAUCUUUCUUGACAAAGCCUGAGCAUCUUGUUUUUGAAAUUCAUAAAAAUGUCACCUCAUCACAGACCAUCAAAAGAUAUACUCAAAAUCAGAGUUUAAAAUGGACACAAAGAACCAUGGGAAAGACCAUUUUAAUCUUACAAUUAGUCAUUUCUGUUUUCAAAAUACAAGACAAUCAAAGGACUGCAUUGAAUAGUGUGUUGGGUCUUUGACCAAAGAAAUUUGAAUUUCAAAAGAAAAAAAUAAUUUCAAAAAAACAAACAUCUCUCUGAUUUCAUUUCAACAAUUAGACUUGAAUAGACAUGAUCGUUGAAAUGUGAGAUUUGAUUCCAGAACAAGAAAGAUUUUCAACCAAGAACAUCAAUUGAGUUUGCAAAAUCCUUGACAAAAAUGACAUCAACAUUUUCUCGACACUCCUUGAAACGUUGACCACCUGGGGGCAAUACAGUGGGCCCUUAGAAGAAAAGCAAACAAUAUCCAGAUCAGCUGGGGGCAAAGAAAGAAUCACAUGAUGAGUCAUCAAAGUCCACCAAAGUCACUCCUGGCAUUCACAAAAGCCAUUUGUUUGUAAAUAGAAGAAUGAGCAUGUUCAGAUCAACUAGGGGCAAUGUUGUUCAAAGACCAUCCAUGAUCUAGUGCAUUUCAGCAGCAAUUGAUGAGCAACGCUGCACUUGAAGGAUAUUUUCAUAUCUUCAUCUUGGGUUACCCUGUAAAACAUGGCUAUGACUCCUGACAUAUGUUAUCGGCUCAAAUGCGCACUUCACCGCAUGAAUAUGGGUGAUAACAUGAACAUCAUUGAUGAUGCCAAAGCAGUUAUUUUCACGAUCUGAUUUGACAAGCUAAGAGGAAUCCAUGGAGAAAUACAUCGCGCUUACAAUGAUGAGUUGUUUACUGCAAAUCGUGAGAUCCAUGUCUGGAUGACUUGGCAGUUCCAUGAAGGCUGGUGACCAUACAUACUUGAAUGGUGUUUCAACCGAAGGCAAGUUCAUGACUGAUUAACAAUCUUGAUGGGUGUUGGCAUGAUGCACACAAUCAAUCAAAGGAUAAUUCUCAGAAGAAUCCAAGAGAGAAAACCCUUCAUAAUGAAUCAAGCAACACCACACUUGGGGGCAGAGUCAAGCUGGAUGAAUGAAGCAAGCAGUAAUUGUCGAAGACAGCCCAGGAUGGGCACUGCAUUUACAGUUGAGUGGAUGGCUAGCACAUGAAUGAGCCAAUGCAUCGGAAGAACAAAGAAAGCUUUAAGAUGCAAACAAGGGCACCCUAUGACGAUGGAGCAUCAAAGAGGGGGGACCUAUAUUUCAAAUCAGGUAAGGAUGCAUGCAUAUCAUCUAACCUCAUGCAUAUAUUUUUGAAUUGUUACAGGAAAAUCCUUAAUGAGGUCCAACAAGAUGGUGGAAAAAGAAAGAAGCAUUGUGGUGAUGAUAAUAAAGAAUCGGUUUUGAUCAUGGAAUAAAAGGACGAUGGGACCUUACCAUUAGGAAAAUCCCAAAGAAAUGAAAAGAUCAACCUUGCAAUCGGGAAGCCGCGAGUUUUCAACCCUUGCAGUCAGGAAGCACCAAGUUUUCCAGCCCUUCUUCUGUCAUCCCCUCAGGACUUCGCCAGGUAAGUCCUAUUUUUCACACUUGUCAUAUCACAUUUUUUCCAUCUGGGUAGGUCGCCCAUCAUAAUAAGACCGUUCAUCAUAUUUUUUCCAUCUGGGUAGGUCACCCAUUACAAUGAGACCGCACUUCACAUUCUUUCUAUCCGGGUAGGUCGCCCAUCACAACGAGACCAGUUCAUCAUAUUUUUUCCAUCUGGGUAGGUCACCCAUUACAAUGAGACCGCACUUCAUAUUCUUUCUAUUUGGGUAGGUCGCCCAUCACAACGAGACCACUUCAUCACAUUUUUUCCAUCUGGGUAGGUCACCCAUUACAAUGAGACCACACUUCACAUUUUUCCAUCUUGGGUAGGUCACCCAUCACAAUGAGACCAUCAUCUUUUCUGGGUAGGUCACCCAAAGAAUGAGACCAUUCUCCAUCUUUUUUUUACCUGGGUAGGUCACCCAUAAGAAUGAGGCCAUCCCUCCCCCUGGGUAGGUCACCCAAAGAAUGAGACCACUCUUCCUUUUUCCACUUGGGUAGGUCACCCAUCACAAUGAGACCACCAUUUUUUCUGGGUAGGUCACCCAUUAGAAUGAGACCAUUCUCCAUUUUUUUUUUACAUGGGUAGGUCACCCAUAAGAAUGAGGCCAUUCCUCCCCCUGGGUAGGUCACCCAAAGAAUGAGACCACUCUUCCUUUUUCCACUUGGGUAGGUCACCCAUCACAAUGAGACCACCAUUUUUUCUGGGUAGGUCACCCAUUAGAAUGAGACCAUUCUCCAUCUUUUUUUACCUGGGUAGGUCACCCAUAAGAAUGAGGCCAUUCCUCCCCCUGGGUAGGUCACCCAAAGAAUGAGACCACUCUUCCCCCUUUCCACUUGGGUAGGUCACCCAUUAUAAUGAGACCGCUUUUUACACAUUCUUUUGUUCCAGUUGAAUGAGGUCGCCAGAUGGGAUCUCAUGUGGCUUUGGUUAAAGGGAAUCUCCAUAUGGCAUUUCAGGUUGACCGAGUUACACACAUUCUUUUGUUUUGUUUGAAGGAGGUCGCCAGAUGGGAUCUCAGGAUAAUAAAAAAAAAAAGAGGAAGAUUGCUGAUAAAGUGGAUAUUGAGCAAACAGAAAGACAAGUUUUUCUUUACAAAGCUUACUAUGCAAAACAUCGAGGAUUUUUGCUUCGUAAGCAUUGUAAAAAGGGGGCAUCUGUUGCUACCCAAUUUUUGACCCAUGUUUUUGAUAUAUUUUCAAAAAAAUCCAAAAAUAGAGAAAAACAAAGAAAAUCCAAAAAAAUAUGUUUUUUUAAUAUAUUUUCGUCAUUUUAUCAUUUUCAACGUCGUCUAAAUUUUUUUUUUAAUUUUUCAAAAGAUUUUCAAACGCGUUCGACUUUUCACGCGUCGUUUUUAAAAUCAUUGAUUUUCCGCAUUUGAGUCGACGUUGAUAUUGCUCGUUUUUAAAAAAAUACAAAAAAGCAAGAAAAAUCAAAUUUUACAAAAAAAAAGAGUUAAGGGACCAAUUUUGAAAACUUGACAAUAUUUUUGGCUAUAAAUACUGGUUUCCAACACUUGCAAGGGGGGGGGGGCUAAUUUUGGAAACACCAAAAAAAAUACAAAAAACCUAAACCUAAUCUUUUUUGAAGGGCAGCCGCCCCCCACAUUUUUUGGUUUUCUCUUCAGCCGGUUCCACCAUCUUUUCCCCCCCUCUGGUUUUAAUUUUUCCCAGCCCCCCACCUUUUUUUUUUACCCCAGCCAAACAGCCCCCCAAAAACAGCCCCAGAUCAUUUUUUUCUUUUCUUCCCAUUCUUCUCCCUCACUGGACCCAAAAACCAGCCGGCCAAGACACACAGCCUCCCCCCGAAGCCAUUUCUCCUUCUCUCAGCCUCCACCAUAACCCACAACUGACCCCCACCUUAUUAUUAUUAUUAUUUUUUUCUUUCUUUCUUCUCCCCACUCGGAGUCACUCACAGCCGCCCUUCACCCAUCUCCUGCAACCUCUCAAUCCCCUCAUUCUCUUCAACCAUCAACUCAGCCCUCAUUAUCCUUUAGCCUCUUUCUUUUCCCUCUUAGUUGCAGGAGCAAGGGACGAACCGAACGGAGGCCCAGCAACGGCGUCUCCUCAUCCCAUCGGCGUCGUCCACUCCAUCAACCAUAGCAGCGCCGUCUUCAACUAGCCACAGAUCCCUCGUCGCCAUCUGCAAACCACCGAUCUGUAGGCGAUCUCCUCAGCCACGGCUGCUCCUCCUUCGGUUUCCUUCCACAGCAGCGACGGCCGAACAGAUCCAGCGCCGGGGCAACAGUCAUCAGCUCCUUCAACUGGUGGCGGAUCCACGAUCCUCUCUUCAGCCGCAGCAACGCUCCGCCAUCUGAAGAACGAAGUAACAGCCACCAGAAAGAGAACAAAUUGAUUACAGAUCUAAAAGCAUUGGGCAGAAAAAAGAAAUAAAAACAGAUCUGAAAUAAAAGCUAAAAUCAACUGUUCUGUGGCGUUUUCUUGGUUGUUUUGCAGGUCAUUGUCGGUGGGGAAGAGAAGAAGAUUGCAAGCCAGGCCUGCUUCCCCUGUCAUCCAGCGGUGGCGCGUGGAUCCACGCGCCACCAGUGGCGGUGCGCGUGGAUAAACGCGCCACCAGUGUUCAUACGGGUCCAGGAAGUUCCUCUGCAAUUCCUGGAGUGUUGGGGGACUAUUUUGUAAAUUUUAAGUUAUUUAAUGUAAUUUUUAUUUAGUUUUUUUCUAAUUUGCAUUUUUUGUAAAUAUGGAUGUAAAAGAAAAGAAAAAGAGUGAUAAAUAAAAAAAAAGAAAAAAAAAUGUUUGUGUGUUUGGUUUUUU